UUGUAAAUACUGUUAAUCUUUGGUUUUAAUUUUUCUUUCGCCAGUUUUGUCAUAAUAUCUGUUAAAAUAUGAAGAUAUCUUCCAUGUUGUGACCCUCCCAAAAGCCAAGCCUGCUCGAAAAGAAAUGACAAUGUCGCAGACUUUCUGUACAUCAUUUUGCU
rnacentral:ribozyme from 13 species